CAUGCAAGUCGAGGGGCAGCGCGGGAUAGCAAUAUCCUGGCGGCGACCGGCGGAAGGGUGCGUAACGCGUGAGCGACAUGCCCGUUGCCCGGGGACAACCGGUGGAAACGCCGACUAAUCCCCGAUGGGAUAUUGUGCCGCAUGGCACGAUAUUGAAAGUUACGGCGGCGACGGAUUGGCUCGCGUCCGAUUAGCUUGUUGGCGGGGUGACGGCCCACCAAGGCUACGAUCGGUAGGGGUUCUGAGAGGAAGGCCCCCCACAAUGGGACUGAGACACGGCCCAUACUCCUACGGGAGGCAGCAGUGAGGAAUAUUGGUCAAUGGGCGGAAGCCUGAACCAGCCAUGCCGCGUGCGGGAAGGAGGCCCUAUGGGCUGUGAACCGCUUUUGCCUGGGGGCAAUAAGGGCGUCGCGCACGCCCGAUGAGAGUACC
rnacentral:rRNA from 1 species